rnacentral:rRNA from 1 species
AUUGAACGCUGGCGGCAGGCCUAACACAUGCAAGUCGAGCGAGCGGCGGACGGGUGAGUAAUGUAUGGGGACUGCCCGAUAGAGGGGGAUAACUACUGGAAACGGUGGCUAAUACCGCAUACUAUCGGAUAACCCAUAUGGGAUUAGCUAGUAGGUGGGGUAAAGGCUCACCUAGGCGACGAUCCCUAGCUGGUCUGAGAGGAUGAUCAGCCACUCUGGUACGGAGACACGGUCCAGACUACUCCGGAGGCAGCAGUGGGGUGUAUUGCACCAGGGCCGGAAGCCUGAUUCAGCCAUGCCGCGUGUAUGACGAAGGCAUUAGGGUUGUAAAGUGCGUUCAUGUAGUAGGCGUUACCCGCAGAAGAAGCACCGGCUAACUCCGUGCCAGAAGCCGCGGGAAUUC